CUUUUCUAUUUGAUUUAUUUAUAUAACGGGGACGAUACAUGUCGUCUGCUUAUCCCAGCUGACUUAAUGAUGGACCCUGCAGUACUGACCUAUUCAGUGGAUGAAUAAUAGCAACUCUUUUUACGAGGAUGAAAGUCGAGGGAGCACUUAACACUUCAGAGGAAAUUUGUUUGGGUGUUCAGGAACAACAAGGCUCAAGCCUGCCAUGAACUGGAAGUUUGUGAGUUUUACAUCAAGAUCGGCAUCUUCAUGCUCCCCUGAAGUUUUCAGCUGAUCACGUGAACGAGCCAAAUAGAAAAAAUGUGCAGAGACGAGACAAAGACUGAGCUAUUUGGCCACAGUGAUAACAGGUGUGUUUGGGAGAGUGAAGGUGAGGCUUCAAGACUUCAGAACGCGGUAUCAGCUGUCAAGUAUGGUGUGUUGCAAUAGUAAUUUUACAAUGUAUGUUGAAGGGAUAUUACUGCCCUCUGUUGGUGUGUCUGUGCAUUACAGCAGUAAAAGGUGUUCGUUAAAAAUAUCAGGUUAUGGGCCCAGAGGUCACUAACACGUUUUUUGGGAGUCAUAAACAGAGUUAUGGGAUUCACAAUGGAAGAUAGACUGUUUAAUGACAAGCUGAGUGGACCGGAGAAUUGGGCAACGUGGAAAUUUCAACUGGAGCACGUGUUGAAGGCAAAAGGACUGUGGGGUAUGGUACAGGAGACGGAGCAGCUAAUGCCCAAGCACGAGCUGAAUUUGAACGUAAGAAAGAAAAGGCAUUUUCAGUGCUGGUACUGAAUGGCAGACCUUCAACUGUACCAAGUGAAGAGCUGCCAAGAAGAAGAAGACACAAAUAAAUAAGUCAAAAGUCAGAAAGAAAUCUCUGUAUGUGUGUAUUUUAUCUUUACACUGUAAGUUAGCAGUGUGCAGAUAUCUGCUGUUUAUUUUGCCAUGAAGACUUUCAUUACACAGUGAAAUAAAGGUUUGGACUUUGGUACUAAAAGUAAUGCACUACAAAAAGCUAUUUCUAUUCAUUUUUAUAGGCAGUAUAACAUCAGAAGGCUUGGCAGGGCAAUUUUUAGAGAUGUGCUUUUCUCCUGAUUAUAAAUGAUUGGUCAUUUAGUGGACUGUUUCGGACACUGUCUCCUCUGCUCUCUUCAUGCAUGUACACCCUUGGUCUUCUCUCUCCAGCCCCAAAAGAACUUGAGAGUAAAAACAAUCACAGAUGUCACAGCUGCUGUUAUGAUGAUUGUGAUCCAUAUCCAGUGGUAGGACUCCUGCAGACGG
ensembl:lncRNA